CCAAUAGCGUAUAUUAAAGUUGUUGCAGUUAAAAAGCUCGUAGUUGAAUUUCGGGAUUAAUUAAUUGGUCGUGCCUCUGGUACGUACUGGUUUUAUUGGUUCCUCCCUUCUGACGAACCAUGAUGUCAUUAAUUUGAUGUCGUGGAGAAUCAGGACUGUUACUUUGAAAAAAUUAGAGUGUUUAAAGCAAGCCUAAGCUUGAAUACAUUAGCAUGGAAUA
rnacentral:rRNA from 1 species